UACGUAGGGUGCGAGCGUUAAUCGGAAUUACUGGGCGUAAAGCGUGCGCAGGCGGUUUUGCAAGCCGGAUGUGAAAUCCCCGGGCUUAACCUGGGAAUGGCAUUUGGGACUGCAAGGCUGGAGUGCGGCAGAGGAGACUGGAAUUCCUGGUGUAGCAGUGAAAUGCGUAGAUAUCAGGAGGAACACCGAUGGCGAAGGCAGGUCUCUGGGCUGACACUGACGCUCAUGCACGAAAGCGUGGGGAGCGAACAGG
rnacentral:rRNA from 1 species